AGGCCUGGAGAGAGAAGCAGGGUCUGAUCCAUAGCUUUCAUGGCAGCUGUUGAUCAGCACUUGCCUCUCUCUCUCUCCG
rfam:Myotis lucifugus cont2.5951, whole genome shotgun sequence.